rnacentral:rRNA from 1 species
UAGGGAAUCUUCCACAAUGGGCGCAAGCCUGAUGGAGCAACACCGCGUGAGUGAAGAAGGGUUUCGGCUCGUAAAGCUCUGUUGUUGGAGAAGAACGUGCGUGAGAGUAACUGUUCACGCAGUGACGGUAUCCAACCAGAAAGUCACGGCUAACUACGUGCCAGCAGCCGCGGUAAUACGUAGGUGGCAAGCGUUAUCCGGAUUUAUUGGGCGUAAAGCGAGCGCAGGCGGUUACUUAGGUCUGAUGUGAAAGCCUUCGGCUUAACCGAAGAAGUGCAUCGGAAACCGGGCGACUUGAGUGCAGAAGAGGACAGUGGAACUCCAUGUGUAGCGGUGGAAUGCGUAGAUAUAUGGAAGAACACCAGUGGCGAAGGCGGCUGUCUGGUCUGCAACUGACGCUGAGGCUCGAAAGCAUGGGUAGCGAACAGG